AAGUCUUGUUUCCUUUCACUCUCUGGAAGGUUUCAAAAUGCUAAAAGCUGGACAUGUUUUGUUGAUGAGGCCGAUAAUGAGCUUAUGAGCAUCCAAAUGAGGUAAUUAUACUUCCAGGCAGAAAACUGGAGUAUGAAACCAAAAGCUGCUCUUAGCAGAAAAUGGAACAAACUUCAUGAUAUCUUUUGAACUGUACGUUCACUGAGUCCUCAGACGGAAAAGCUGUGGCUUUGCUCAAUUUCAAAUUUGGCUUCAUAGGAGAAGCAAAAGGAAUUAACGGAGAAUGAUUCAAAGGAACCUAUUGAUAAGUGCAAGGAGGAAGGAAAAAGAGGCAACCAGUUCACUGCCUCAGUGAAGAGGUCGUUGAGAAAGGCCAUGAAGUUGUAAAAACGGCCACAGAGGGUGUGCAUAUGAGAAUGAAGUCAAUAUGGAUAGUUUACAGUGUCCAAUGUUCAAUUUUUGAGUGCUUAACAUGUCGUAUGUGUUUUAUUUUUAACAAGAAUGGACGUCUUAAACUUGAGACCUUCCUACUUUAUGAAGAAAAAAAACCUAUAUUUAAUUAUAGGGAAUUGU